GUAAAAAAAAAAGGGGGAGGAGGGGAGAAAACUGUUGGUUUUAAACAGACUUUAAGGUAUUUAUUAUUUUUUUAAAGUGUUAGUUUCUGCGAUUUCUUGCACAAUCCUGCUUUUCUUUGCCGUAGCUCUGUGUCCUGCUUUGACAGUGGCUGAAUUGAUUUCACGCGGAAGUGUUUUUCCUGGGCGUGCACAAUGGCUUCGGCAUGGGAGAAAUUUGAAUCGUUCCAUCGGUGGAUUUUGGAGAAUGGAGAUAAAAGGACAGAUCCGUGGCUGCUGGUGUAUUCUCCUAUGCCAGUCAUCUGCGUAUUUCUCUUUUAUCUCGGUGUGAUAUGGAUUGGACCCAGGCUGAUGAAGAACAGAGAGCCUGUUGAUCUCAAAGUUGUUCUCAUUGUCUACAACUUUGCAAUGGUGCUUCUCUCCAUUUAUAUGUUUCACGAGUUUCUGAUGGCAUCCUGGUUAGCUAACUACAGCUACCUCUGUCAACCAGUAGACUACAGCACCAGUCCUCUGGCCAUGCGGAUGGCCAGUGCGUGCUGGUGGUUCUUCUUCUCCAAAGUCAUCGAGCUUAGUGACACGAUCUUUUUCAUCUUGAGGAAAAAGAACAACCAGCUAACCUUCCUGCAUGUGUAUCACCACGGCACGAUGAUCUUCAACUGGUGGGCUGGGGUGAAGUAUCUUGCUGGUGGGCAAUCUUUCUUCAUAGGUCUUCUGAACACCUUUGUGCACAUUGUGAUGUACUCUUACUAUGGGCUGGCUGCGCUGGGACCUCAUAUGCAGAAGUACCUGUGGUGGAAGCGAUAUCUUACAUCACUACAGCUGAUGCAGUUUGUCCUGUUGACCAUCCACACCACCUACAACCUGUAUGCGGACUGUGAUUUCCCCGAUGCCAUGAAUGUAGUGGUGUGCACGUACCUGCUGAGUCUCAUUGUGCUCUUCAGCAACUUCUAUUACCAGAGCUACGUCACCCGGAAGAGCAAGAAGUCAUAGUGGACAAAGUGUGAAGAUGGACGGUCCACUACUCUGCUAAAUCUCUUUACAAGAGAAACUAUGAAGCCAUUCACAACAAUUGUAUCUCCCGGGAUCACUGGCACAAGCGUCGCAAGACAGGCGGCAAAAGGAAGCCCUACCACAAGAAAAGAAAGUAUGAGCUUGGCCGUCCACCCGC